CUUGCUUCCUUAGCUAUUAAUUGCUGCCUCUCUGCUUAAUGCGAUGCUUGAGUGUAUCCUGAUUUAUGUGUGCAACAGGUCAGGAGGCUGGAGGCACCACUGGCCGUGGCCAUAGGAAUGUGGAGGGCUGUUAAUCACCCUGUUAUGAGCAGCAUGUGUUUGUCAGGUUGCAACACUGAAGUGGUACAGCCAGCUUCAGUCUGUGGUUCUGGGGACAAGUCACACAAUGUCUGAUUAAGCCACCCAGUGAUCAUCUCCAUCCUAAAUGAUUGUUCCUGUCCUGCUACUGAAACACAUCAUCUGCUUCCAUUUUGCCAGGUCAGAAGAUUGAAUGAUUACUCAGUUAACCAGAAGCGCAUGCUGCUAUUGCUUCUGCUGCCCAAAGAGUCCUAUGAGUUCAAAAGAUUUGACUAUUUCUUUUAAGAAUACAUGGGUUAAGGAAGGCGUCACCAGGCAUGCCAAUCACUUCUGUACGUCCUGUGUUAAAAGCAGAAGACAGCACUGUAUUACCAGUACUGAAGAUAUAAAAGACAAGAUGAGAAUAUGAAGCUUAAUAGCACUGACACCUGCUGAACUUUCCUUUUCACUCUGCAUAUUUACAUCCUCAUACUCCCACAAGUGCAUAUAUCAACAAGAGCAGGUAAGAUGUUAAUUCGUUAAAGACUCUGUUUAUGGCCACUCUACAACUAGAAAGGGAGUAUUUCUACAUGAACUUUUUAGUUAUGCCUGUAACUAUAUGCUCAAUUAAUAUUCAGCCACAUGACUAUACUCAAAUGUACAACUUCCAGUUUUCCACCUGCUUCUGCCAGAAGGAUCAGACACAGGCAGCCCAUUUGCAA
rnacentral:lncRNA from 1 species